rnacentral:tRNA from 1 species
GCGCCCGUAGCUCAAUCGGAAGAGCAGCGGGUUUCUAACCCGUUGGUUGGGGGUUCGAGUCCCUCCGGGCGCG